AUCUCCUACGGGAGGCAGCAGUGAGGAAUACUGGUCAAUGGUCGGGAGACUGAACCAGCCAAGCCGCGUGAGGGAGGAAGGUACAGAGUAUCGUAAACCUCUUUUGUCAGGGAACAAAGGCGGGGACGUGUCCCCGGAUGAGUGUACCUGAAGAAAAAGCAUCGGCUAACUCCGUGCCAGCAGCCGCGGUAAUACAGAGGAUGCGAGCGUUAUCCGGAUUUAUUGGGUUUAAAGGGUGCGCAUGCGUUCUGUUAAGUCAGCGGUCAAAGCCCGGGGCUCACCCCCGGGCCGCCGUUGCAACUGGG
rnacentral:rRNA from 1 species